rnacentral:rRNA from 1 species
GACGUAGGGCGCAAGCGUUGUCCGGAUUUAUUGGGCGUAAAGAGCUCGUAGGCGGCCUGUCGCGUCGACCGUGAAAACCCGCAGCUCAACUGCGGGCUUGCGGUCGAUACGGGCAGGCUGGAGUUCGGUAGGGGAGACUGGAAUUCCUGGUGUAGCGGUGAAAUGCGCAGAUAUCAGGAGGAACACCGGUGGCGAAGGCGACUACCUGGCCUGUUCUUGACGCUGAGGCGCGAAAGCUAGGGGAGCAAACGGG